rnacentral:lncRNA from 1 species
AUGGACCGGACAGACACAUCUGGAUUUGUUACCGGUGGAUCAGACGGUACUUCACUGCUGCUGAUAUUCUUUCACUUCGUCUACUCGACUGUGCACCUAUAAGAGAUCAGUAGACCUCUGAUCUCACUGUCCAGAACUACACUCUCCUCAUCGUUGUUCGUCCACCGCCUUCGCUGAACUUUUCAAGUACUUUGUCUAGAUGAGUACCGGUUCUGCGGGUGUCUUCCUGCACCGUGGAAACCAGGCUCUCAUGGAUGAUUCUGCAGUGCCAAUUGGCUUCUCAA